GCAGAUGUCUUCUCGUAUGCGAUGGUCUUGUUUGAAAUCAUUUGC
rnacentral:rRNA from 1 species